UAGACCAUUUGUGAGAAGGGAG
rnacentral:siRNA from 1 species